rnacentral:rRNA from 1 species
GACGAACGCUGGCGGCGUGCUUAACACAUGCAAGUCGUACGGUAAGGCCCUUUCGGGGGUACACGAGUGGCGAACGGGUGAGUAACACGUGAGUAACCUGCCCACAACUUUGGGAUAACGCUAGGAAACUGGUGCUAAUACUGGAUAUGUGCUCCUGCUGCAUGGUGGGGGUUGGAAAGCUCCGGCGGUUGUGGAUGGACUCGCGGCCUAUCAGCUUGUUGGUGGGGUAGUGGCCUACCAAGGCGGCGACGGGUAGCAGGCCUGAGAGGGUGACCGGCCACAGUGGGACUGAGAUACGGCCCAGACUCCGACGGGAGGCAGCAGGGGGGAAGAUUGCACAAUGGGCGCAAGCCGGAUGCAGCAACGCCGCGUGCGGGAGGACGGCCUUCGGGUUGUAAACCGCUUUCAGCAGGGACGAAGCUUUUUGUGACGGUACCUGCAGAAGAAGCACCGGCUAACUACGUG